rnacentral:rRNA from 1 species
GCCCACCUACGGGACGCAGCAGUGGGGAAUAUUGCACAAUGGGGGAAACCCUGAUGCAGCAACGCCGCGUGAGUGAAGAAGUAUUUCGGUAUGUAAAGCUCUAUCAGCAGGGAAGAGAAUGACGGUACCUGACCAAGAAGCCCCGGCUAACUACGUGCCAGCAGCCGCGGUAAUACGUAGGGGGCAAGCGUUAUCCGGAUUUACUGGGUGUAAAGGGAGCGUAGACGGCUGUACAAGUCUG